CCCUUGGGUCGUAAAGCUCUGUCAUUGGGGACGAACGGUCAGAUCAGGAAAUGGGUUUGAAGUGACGGUACCCAAGAAGGAAGCCACGGCUAACUACGUGC
rnacentral:rRNA from 1 species